UACGUAGGUGGCAAGCGUUGUCCGGAAUUAUUGGGCGUAAAGCGCGCGCAGGCGGUCCUUUAAGUCUGAUGUGAAAGCCCACGGCUCAACCGUGGAGGGUCAUUGGAAACUGGGGGACUUGAGUACAGAAGAGAAGAGUGGAAUUCCACGUGUAGCGGUGAAAUGCGUAGAGAUGUGGAGGAACACCAGUGGCGAAGGCGGCUUCCUGGCCCAUUACUGACGUUCAGGUACGAAAGCGUGGGUAGCAAACAGG
rnacentral:rRNA from 1 species